ACACCUCAACCCUCGUGGUUCGCCACGAUCGGCUUGGACUUUGGAGGUUUUGCCGGCCCUGUGGUCGGCUCCUCUCAAACGAAUCAGCUUACCAGUGUUUGGUGGCGCCGCAGGUGUGAUAACUAUCUACGCUUGCGGCAGUCCGCCACGUGACCUUCAGCGAUGAGGGUGCUCUGGGGCUUACAGAUGUCUCUCCCGAGUGAAGACAGCUUUUUGAUC
rnacentral:misc_RNA from 1 species